UUUCCGUAGGUGAACCUGCGGAAGGAUCAUUAUUGCAUAACCGAGGUGAGAGGGCUGUCGCUGACCCGAAAGGUCGUGCACGCCCGAGUGCCCUCACACACAUCCAUCUCACCCCUAUGUGCACCACCGCGUGGGUCCCCCUUUGGCUUGUUCGGAGGGGGGCUUACGUUUUCACACAAACUUUGUAUGCAGUGUAGAAUGUAUUUUUUGUUUUUGCGAUCACGCAAUCAAUACAACUUUCAACAACGGAUCUCUUGGCUCUC
rnacentral:misc_RNA from 1 species